rnacentral:rRNA from 1 species
AGGAAGUAAAAGUCGUAACAAGGUUUCCGUAGGUGAACCUGCGGAAGGAUCAUUAUUGAAUUGUCAACAUGGGUUGUUGCUGGUCCUCAACAUGGACAUGUGCACACUCUGUUCACACAUCCACUUACACCUGUGCACCCUCUGUAGUUCUGUGGCCUGGGAGACUCUGUCCCCUUGCUGUGGCUCUACACAUUUACACAUAUACACUGUGAUAAAGUCUUAUGGAAUGUAUGCCGCGUUUAACGCAAUACAAUACAACUUUCAGCAACGGAUCUCUUGGCUCUCGCAUCGAUGAAGAACGCAGCGAAAUGCGAUAAGUAAUGUGAAUUGCAGAAUUCAGUGAAUCAUCGAAUCUUUGAACGCACCUUGCNCCCUUUGGCUAUUCCUGAGGGCAUGCCUGUUUGAGUAUCAUGAACACCUCAACUCUCACAGUCUGCUGUGAUGAGCUUGGACUUUGGGGGUUUUGCUGGCCUAUGGUCGGCUCCUCUAAAACAAAUCAGCUUGCCAGUUUUUGGUGGCAUCACAGGUGUGAUAACUAUCUGCGCUUGUGAAGUUUCACCAGGGUGGCCUUCAGCGAUGGAGGUCUGGCUGGGGCUCAUAAAUGUCUCUCCUCAGCAGAGAUGGUUUUGUGAAUGUUUGAUCUCAAAUCAGGUAGGACUACCCGCUGAACUUAAGCAUAUCA